rnacentral:snoRNA from 1 species
GGGCUGUGAUGACUUUAGAUUAUACCAUCAAACUUUGAGAGCAUUUUUAAGCUUGUUGAUGUAAAAUCAAUCACAAAUCUCUGAGCCU